GAUGAACGCUAGCUACAGGCUUAACACAUGCAAGUCGAGGGGAAACGGCAUCGAAAGCUUGCUUUUGAUGGGCGUCGACCGGCGCACGGGUGAGUAACGCGUAUCCAACCUGCCCAUCACUUGGGAAUAACCUUGCGAAAGUAAGACUAAUGCCCAAUGACAUCCCACGAAGGCAUCCGAAUGGGAUUAAAGAUUUAUCGGUGAUGGAUGGGGAUGCGUCUGAUUAGCUUGUUGGCGGGGUGACGGCCCACCAAGUCAACGAUCAGUAGGGGUUCUGAGAGGAAGGUCCCCCACAUUGGAACUGAGACACGGUCCAAACUCCUACGGGAGGCAGCAGUGAGGAAUAUUGGUCAAUGGGCGAGAGCCUGAACCAGCCAAGUAGCGUGCAGGAUGACGGCCCUAUGGGUGGUAAACUGCUUUUAGAAGGGAAUAAAGUGGGUCACGUGUGACUUUUUGCAUGUACCUUAUGAAUAAGGACCGGCUAAUUCCGUG
rnacentral:rRNA from 1 species